CAAAGUUUAUGUUUGUUAUACACGUGUAUGUAUUGAUUUUGAACAAGAGUGUCACUUUAAAACAUUUUUAAACAUUUUUGGAUGUAUAACAUUGGAAGGAUGGACAAGUUAAUUGAAUAAGAUGUUUAUGACAAACAACAUGGAAUUCAUUCAGGAGGAUGUCGCCGAUUAGCAAAUAUAAAUGUGUUUAGUGAACAAUGGUAUCACCUUAUGAGUUCACACAUGGCUGAGCAUUUGAUAAUAUUGUGACUUAAUGUGUAUAAAUAGCAUUAAUAAUCAGUGAAGCAUGAUCUCACCGAAUGAAAUCGCACAUGGUUGAACAUUUGAUAAUAUUGUGACUUAAUGUGUAUAAAUAGCAUUACUAAUCAGUGAAGCAUGAUCUCACCGUAUGAAAUCACACAUGGUUGAACAUUUGAUAAUAUUGUGACUUGAUCUGUAUACAUAGCCUAAAUAAUCAUUGAAGCAUGAUCUCACCGUAUGAAAUCACACAUGGUUGAACAUUUGAUAAUAUUGUGACUUGAUAUGUAUACAUAGCCUAAAUAAUCAUUGAAGCAUGAUCUCACCGUAUGAAAUCACACAUUGUUGAACAUUUGAUAAUAUUGUGACUUGAUAUGUAUACAUAGCCUAAAUAAUCAUUGAAGCAUGAUCUCACCGUAUGAAAUCACACAUGGUUGAACAUUUGAUAAUAUUGUGACUUGAUAUGUAUACAUAGCCUAAAUAAUCAUUGAAGCAUGAUCUCACCGUAUGAAAUCACACAUGGUUGAACAUUUGAUAAUAUUGUACAUUAGUAGGAAUUUGAGUUUGUUAUCUUGUCAUGUUUGAAAUAAAUGCUUGUGUUUUUAAA